AGAUUGUUGUUGAUAAUAUUAUAUCUUGUUUCGUUUUUGCUAUUUUAAUAUUUUUUAGUUGAUGGUGCCAUCCACAAAGCAGCUGGUCCAGAAUUGAAACGGAAAUGUCGAACCUUAGAUGGCUGUAAGACUGGAGACAUUGUGAAAACAGACGGAUAUUGCCUCCCAGCAAAGUACAUAAUCCAUACAGUUGGUCCAAUGGGAGAAAAAGCUGAAGAGUUGAGAAGUUGUUACCAGAAAUCAUUAAAUUCUUUAUUAAAAGAUGAAAGAACAAUUGUAAUUAUUGCUUCUAUUUUAUAUUUCUUUAUUUUUUUAUUUUGUUUUAUUAA